rnacentral:lncRNA from 1 species
UUUCACAUUAACGUAUGUAUGGACUGAUUGUUGGUUGUUUAUUUCCUCAUGUAUUUAGUUAGUAGAUUAAAUACAGGACUGCCCCCUAUGUUUGGCUCUAUUCAAAUUUAAGACGUGUGUCUCUUUUUUCCUUUGAAAAUUUCAGUACAUAUGGUUUAGUUUAUUUUUUGUAUUUCAUCUUUUUAGACAUAUCAUAUAUAUAUAUUAUUUUUUAUUUAUUUAGUCUUGACUUCUACAUGCGCGUUUUCAGAACUGGAGGCACAUGAAUUUGUCAUUGAAAAAAAUGAAUAUUUCAGGUAAAGUGAGAAGAAAUUAAACCAAAAGUACUGAAUUGUUGCAAAAAGAACUGUAACGUUUGAAUUUGCAUAAGACAGAAUCUCAUGGUGUGAAAUUAUAAUUUUUUCACGGUCAAGCUAUGCAAGAAAACAGUUUUCUCACUCAUUGUUCCUUAAAUUAGAAUCUGGAGCUAAUUCUGUAAGGAAUUCUUGUGAAUUUUUUUCUGGUUAACUUAUU